rnacentral:rRNA from 1 species
AUUGAACGCUGGCGGAAUGCUUUACACAUGCAAGUCGAACGGCAGCACGGACUUCGGUCUGGUGGUGAGUGGCGAACGGGUGAGUAAUGUAUCGGAACGUGCACAGUCGUGGGGGAUAACGUAGUGAAAAUUACGCUAAUACCGCAUACGAUCUAUGGAUGAAAGCGGGGGAUCGCACGACAUCGCGCGAUUGGAGCGGCCGAUAUCAGAUUAGGUAGUUGGUGGGGUAAAGGCCCACCAAGCCAACGAUCUGUAGCUGGUCUGAGAGGACGACCAGCCACACUGGAACUGAGACACGGUCCAGACUCCUACGGGAGGCAGCAGUGGGGAAUUUUGGACAAUGGGCGAAAGCCUGAUCCAGCCAUUCCGCGUGCAGGAUGAAGGCCCUCGGGUUGUAAACUGCUUUUGUACAGAACGAAAAGGUUUCUACUAAUACUAGGAGCUCAUGACGGUACUGUAAGAAUAAGCACCGGCUAACUACGUGCCAGCAGCCGCUGUAA